CUUCUCUCUUUUCUUUCCUCUCUCGCCCCCGUUCCCCCUUCUUCCCAUCUGCGAUUUCCAGGUUUCGGCCACAUCUCCGACCGACGACGGCGUGAUCUACGACGAUCGGCGGUGGAAGGUUUUCGUUUGGGAAUUGGUCAAAGAUGGUGAAAUUAGUUCAACUCAGCCAAAUUGAACAGAGUUGGCAAUUCUUUGGCUGUUUUACGACCUUACAAGCAACAAGAAGGGAAUUAGCUGGAGACAACUACUA